GAUGAACGCUGGCGGCGUGCUUAACACAUGCAAGUCGAACGGAAAGGCCAGUGCUUGCACUGGUACUCGAGUGGCGAACGGGUGAGUAACACGUGGGUGAUCUGCCCUGCACUUCGGGAUAAGCCUGGGAAACUGGUUCUAUUCCCGGUUAGGACAAUGGUUUGGUUGCGGUUUUGGAAGGUUUUUUCGGUGUGGGAUGAGCUCGCGGCCUAUCAGCUUGUUGGUGGGGUAAUGGCCUACCAAGGCGUCGACGGGUAGCCGGCCUGAGAGGGUGUACGGCCACAUUGGGACUGAGAUACGGCCCAGACUCCUACGGGAGGCAGCAGUGGGGAAUAUUGCACAAUGGGCGCAAGCCUGAUGCAGCGACGCCGCGUGGGGGAUGACGGCCUUCGGGUUGUAAACUCCUUUCGCUAGGGACGAAGCGUAUUUGUGACGGUACCUGGAGAAGAAGCACCGGCUAACUACGUG
rnacentral:rRNA from 1 species